ensembl:lncRNA
CUUUUGUAAGAUGGUUCUUUCAGACAUUAGUCAGCCCUUUUCCCCCUUGCCAGCAAGCUGUAAUUAAGUACUUUCUUUCAUACCACCUUGCCUCUUGACUAUUGGCAUGUCUUGACAUGGGCAGAUGACCCUUGGGCAGUAAAAACUUUGGCACCCCAGCUAGGACAUUAAGUCCUGCUCAUGUCCAGUCAACCUGGGAUGGGAAACCUGAUGAGUAAAUCCCUAGUGGCUGCCAAGGCUCUCUUUGUCUCAGAGAACUGCCCUUCUGCUUUCCUCUACCAACACUGGCUGCAUUCCAACACUGACUGUAGCAGGAAGAGAAACAGCUACAUCAAUGGGCUCAAUCUGGAGUAGGACUGGAUCCUGAAUUCUUCUAGUCUCCUGAAAUAUCUGGCUAAAAAUCUACAAACUACCAUUUUCAAUUUUUUCCAUCAUUUCCAUUUGGACUCAUUGAGAACUGAACCUGCCUGUUUUCCUGAAGCCAAGCAAACUGAAGCUGGAGGACUUGAUAUAAAAUUAAGAGAGAUUCAUGUCUGUUGCUAUAUGAAAAGGAGACAUAACCAAGCAAGAUGUAGAUCAGAAGAUCCUGAAAUUUAAGGCUAAGGCUGUAAUUGGCUGAGACUUUGGGGAUGCUCAAAUGGAAUGAGUAUGUUUGUAUAUAGGAGAAAAAUUAGUAAUUGUAGUGAAGAGGGUGGACUGGGGUAGUCUUGUAAUUCUUUUUUCUGCAAUUCCUCAAAUUCCCUGCAAUUCUUUAAUCCCCACUAUGCUUUCACCUGCAAUACUGCUAUAUCCUCCUUGAUGACCAGGGUGAAUAUCUUAUUCCUUGACUCUGACCUUAGUCUUGUAAACUUGCUUUGAAAAAUGAGAAAUUGGUAGAUCUGACAUAAGCAGAGGUUUGGAAUGGCAUCCACCCUGGGGCUGGCCCAGUCUUGGUCUUCUACAAGCACCAUGAGAACUUCCCCAGGCUAGUGCACUGCUCCCAAGAGGAGAAUCAGAGACUCACGGAGUUAAGUUGCCUCAGCAAGAUCCAGCUCAAAAUGCCAAUCAGCCGAAAGAUAACUGGCUCCCCAAUACAUUGCCAAGCCCAUUUCAAAUCAUCAGAGCCACCCAACACAAUGCAGUGUAGAUAAACUGAAUUGUGCAAACAUGUAAGAUAUAAAUAUCUACUGGAAUUUAACAGUGAAGUUUUUGAGUGGUUUGUUUUUCAGCAAAAGCUAAAUAAUACCAGUUCUCUGCUACCCUAACUAUGUAGAAAAUAUGUUCAUCCUUUACCUUUGGUGUAUCAGGAAUUCAGGAGCCAGAGGAAAAAUAGAUGGAGUAUAUCAAAGUUUUGUCAUGGGAGGUGGAUAAUGCUGGAAGAGAGCUUUCAUAAAGCUCUGACAACUGCAGAUACCAUCAGCUCAAAUUUCUGCAUAUUGCAACUAAAAUUAAAAAAUUCCCACUUUAUCUCUCUUAGACUUGAGUACCAUACAGACGGUGGACUUUCCCCCUAAGUGUGUAAUGAACUCAAUAAUCAUUGAUUCUUAUGGAAAAUUUACCCUGAGAAUUUUUUUAAUUAUAUGCAGAUUUAGAAAUAGCCAAACAAAAACGUGAGGUGCGAUUAUUGAUCACAAAGCAAACACCCGUGUAACCACCAUGCAGGUUAAGAAACGGCACAUUGCCAACAGCCCAGGUCACCUCCAUGCCACAUUCCAAUCACUACACCUGUCUCCACUUCUCCUGAGUGACCAAUAUCCAUACAUUGUCACAAUCGUUUCUUUGAUUUUCUUAUACUUUACCACCUUAAUGUGCAACUCUCAACUCUGUAGCUUUGUUUUGCCUGCUUUUUGAACUUUUGUAAAUAAAAUCCUAUAAUAUUGUAUUUUUUGUGGCUUCUCUUUUCAUUCAAUAUUAUGUUCUUCAAAUUUAUCCACACAGUCG